UACGUAGGGUGCGAGCGUUAAUCGGAAUUACUGGGCGUAAAGUGUGCGCAGGCGGCCGCGCAAGUCGAGUGUGAAAGCCCCGAGCUUAACUUGGGAAUUGCGCUCGAAACUACGUGGCUGGAGUGUGGCAGAGGAAGGUGGAAUUCCACGUGUAGCGGUGAAAUGCGUAGAGAUGUGGAGGAACACCAAUGGCGAAGGCAGCCUUCUGGGCCAACACUGACGCUCAUGUGCGAAAGCGUGGGGAGCAAACAGG
rnacentral:rRNA from 1 species